GCUGGCAGCUAGCUCUCUGCAACUCUUACAUGGUCGCCCAAUGAAGCUAUGCAGGGCUGUGCCUGCUCAGUACCUGGAUAGGAGACCACAUGAGAAACCUAGGUUGCUGCCGGAA
rnacentral:rRNA from 1 species